CAGUCGCCACGGGAAUACGGAGGGUGCAAGCGUUAAUCGGAAUUACUGGGCGUAAAGCGCACGCAGGCGGUUUGUUAAGUCAGAUGUGAAAUCCCCGAGCUUAACUUGGGAACUGCAUUUGGAACUGGCAAGCUAGAGUCUUGUAGAGGGGGGUAGAAUUCAGGUGUAGCGGUGAAAUGCGUAGAGAUCUGGAGGAAUACCGGUGGCGAAGGCGGCCCCCUGGACAAAGACUGACGCUCAGGUGCGAAAGCGUGGGGAGCAAACAGGAUUAGAUACCCGCGUAGUCCCUGUCUCUUAUACA
rnacentral:rRNA from 1 species